GGCGGCGUGGCCGAGUGGUUCAGGCAGGGGCCUGCAAAGCCUCGUACGGCGGUUCGAUUCCGCCCGCCGCCU
rnacentral:tRNA from 1 species